AUCGACUGCACCGAGGUGCAGUCGAUGAUUACCCGAACAUCAUCUUACAAGAACACAACAACCUUUAAGGCCUUGAUUGGGAUUGCCCCUUGUAGUGCUGUGACUUUUGUGUCAAGUCUCUUCACCGGCUCCAUCUCCGACCCAGAGCUGACUGAACGAAGUGGACUGCUGGAUUUACUGGAGCCAGGAGAUGGCUGCAUGGCAGACAAGGGUUUCACCAUCGAGAAGCCACUAGCUGAUCGUGGGGCAACGCUGAUUAUACCACCCUUCAAGAUGACAGUUCACUGAAGAGGAUGCUCUGAAAACACAAGCAAUCGCUCGACUUCGAAUCCUCGUAGAAAGAGCAAUAGGCAGAGUCAAGGAAUACCGCAUCUGGGAACACACUGUCCUUUCACCUUGUCUGCGACAGUCAAUCAGCUGUGGACCGUCUGCUGUGUGAUGACCAACUUCCAGGGACCACUUGAUUUAAAAGGCUAGAUCCCUGUUGAAUAGUGUUUCUACUCAAACAUGUACCUAUAAAUAUUAAAUAUAAUAUAUAAAUAUUAAAACGAGAGGCACUGAACAUUUGGAUUGGUCCCUUCAUUUUUUCCGGAGCUGUAAUUUUGUACACUGAAAACAUUGUAUAUAUUGAAUGACAUGUAAUGUAAUUGAAUGAGAAGUCUUUCAUCUAUAAUCAAUUUUAAAGUCCAGUCAGUCCAUCCUGAAAGUAUUCAAAAUAAUGUUAAUAUAUAAUGUAGUAAAUGAUGUACUCAGAAAAAGAGAAUGAAUUAAAUCCUUUUAUUCUUUCA